rnacentral:piRNA from 1 species
UAAGUAAUUCUAUUUGUCUGAUGCCUC